AGAGUUUGAUCAUGGCUCAGAGCGAACGCUGGCGGCAGGCCUAACACAUGCAAGUCGAACGGACCCUUCGGGGUUAGUGGCGGACGGGUGAGUAACACGUGGGAACGUGCCUUUAGGUUCGGAAUAGCUCCUGGAAACGGGUGGUAAUGCCGAAUGUGCCCUCCGGGGGAAAGAUUUAUCGCCUUUAGAGCGGCCCGCGUCUGAUUAGCUAGUUGGUGAGGUAACGGCUCACCAAGGCGACGAUCAGUAGCUGGUCUGAGAGGAUGACCAGCCACACUGGGACUGAGACACGGCCCAGACUCCCACGGGAGGCAGCAGUGGGGAAUCUUGCGCAAUGGGCGAAAGCCUGACGCAGNCAUGCCGCGUGAAUGAUGAAGGUCUUAGAUUGUAAAAUUCUUUCACCGGGGACGAUA
rnacentral:rRNA from 1 species